rnacentral:rRNA from 1 species
GAUGAACGCUGGCGGCGUGCCUAAUACAUGCAAGUCGAGCGAACAGACGAGGAGCUUGCUCCUCUGACGUUAGCGGCGGACGGGUGAGUAACACGUGGAUAACCUACCUAUAAGACUGGGAUAACUUCGGGAAACCGGAGCUAAUACCGGAUAAUAUAUUGAACCGCAUGGUUCAAUAGUGAAAGACGGUUUUGCUGUCACUUAUAGAUGGAUCCGCGCCGCAUUAGCUAGUUGGUAAGGUAACGGCUUACCAAGGCGACGAUGCGUAGCCGACCUGAGAGGGGGAUCGGCCACACUGGAACUGAGACACGGUCCAGACUCCUACGGGAGGCAGCAGUAGGGAAUCUUCCGCAAUGGGCGAAAGCCUGACGGAGCAACGCCGCGUGAGUGAUGAAGGGCUUCGGAUCGUAAAACUCUGUUAUUAGGGAAGAACAAAUGUGUAAGUAACUAUGCACGUCUUGACGGUACCGAAGCAGAAAGCCACGGCUAACUACGU